rfam:Brassica napus, WGS project CCCW01000000 data, contig: 5031
AUACUUACCCGGACGGGGUCGACUCUUGAUCAAGAAGAAGAGUGGCCUAAGCUAGUGACUCCCAUUGCACAUUAAGGAAGGGUGUUUAGCUUAAAGUCUUCCCAAGUGGAAGAGCUUGCGUCAUAAUUUGUGGCAGUGGAGGUCUGCGUUCGCGCGGCCUCUU